UACGUAGGGGCAAGCGUUGUCCGGAAUCAUUGGGCGUAAAGCGCGCGUAGGCGGCCCUGUAAGUCCGCUGUAAAAGUCAAAGGCUCAACCUUUGAAAGCCGGUGGAUACUGCCGGGCUAGAGUCCGGAAGAGGUGAGUGGAAUUCCUGGUGUAGCGGUGAAAUGCGCAGAUAUCAGGAAGAACACCAAUGGCGAAGGCAGCUCUCUGGGACGGUACUGAC
rnacentral:rRNA from 1 species